rnacentral:tRNA from 1 species
CCUUUGCUGGUCUGGUGGCUAGGAUUCCUGGUUCUCAUCCAGACUAUCCAGGUUCAAUUCCUGGGCAGGGAA